ensembl:lncRNA
GGGCAAGAGCCACUGUCAAGUUUCGUUUAAGAAAUUGCAGCCGUCUAGACUCUCCUGGCUCCACCCCCACCGAGUGGUUCCUAGUGCCCAGGGAGUUGAAGCCGGGGGCCACGUGUGCACCCGCGUGUGUGUGUGUGUGUGUGUGUGUGUGUGUGUGUGUGUGUAGAGCUCACUGUGGGGCUUAGUUUUAAGGACUCAGGCUCUGCAUUCAGACAGGCAUAGGUUCAGAUCCGGCCCUGCCAGUGGCUGGGGUAUCAGACAAGCUACUUAAGCUGCUGGAGCCUCAGUUUCUUCAUCUGUGAAGUGGGAUAAUAACAAGAAACCUGUGUCUUGGAGUGGGCGCGAGGAUUUGAUGAGAGGAUGAGUGUAUGUGCCUGGCACACAGUAGAUGCUUAAUAAAUGCCAGCCUCAUCCUCACCACCUUCCCCUCGCUCGCUCUGCUGCAGCCGAACUGGCCUUUCUCGGUUCCUUCUACACAUGGACCAGUUCCUGAUCUCACGCCAGCUGCUUCUCUGCCGGGACCCCUCUGUCCUCAAUGGCCCACUCCAUCACCAUCCAGCGGAUGCCGCUGCCCAGUCCCCUGGUCCUGAUGUUGGCAACAGAUGAUGCUUAAGACGUCUGCCCUUGGAGCCCUUCUGCUCGAGUUCCAAUCCAGUGUCCCUUUGCCAACCCCAGUGGACGGGAGCCAGGCGCCCUGGGACCUGCACUUGCACGGCUGGAGAGUCUCUCUGGCGACAAGCAUCGCCCUCCUCUUUCUGCUGUGACAUCGGUGGGAGGCGUUCUCGCUAAGGCCGCGAGCAAGUCCGUGAUGAGGCUCCUCUGGUCUCUCCCAGCCCCCGGGGAGGCAGACAGAGCAGGGCACACGCAGCCCGUGUUACAGAUGGGGACCCGGAGGCCCCGAGAGGUUGAUCCCUCGGGACAGCCCCAGUGAGUUCACAAACCGGACUCGGCCGUCUGAGCCCCCACCAUGCCUUGGGGGUGGGGGAGGUGAGAAGGGCAAGGCUCUGGUGGGGCCCACCGUGGCCUCCCUUCUCAUCCUGGCAGCUUGGAAGGUCUGUUCCUCCAUCCGUUCCUUCUUUCUUUCCUCCUUCCCGGGCUCCGACCUGGACGGUGUGGGAGUGAAGCACCUGUGACAGGUCUGCUGUUUCACCGAUGGGCUGUGUGACCUUAGGAAGAACGAGGGGCCUGAAACCUGCCUCUCAGGGCUGCUGGGAGGGUCUCAAGUCCCUCCCGUGUGUACAAGUGCCGGGCACAGCGCUGAGCACGAUACGCGGUCUCAGCUACAGCGUGUCAAGUGGGGCAGGCUUCUGGUUGUGCUCAGGCCCUGGAGGCCGGGUCCUCGUCUUCGAGGCCAGGGGGGUGGGGUCGCUGUAUAGGAAUCUUUUCGCGGGUAGACCAGGACCAGGGACCAUCCCCGGGUGUGUCCUCACCACCCUCUGGUGAGCACUCUCCUUCACUCGCCCUUCCGGCAGUUUUUCUGGAACACCUACUGUGUGUGGGCAUCGAUCUGUGUCCCGAGACUGGAGCCCAGUGUGAGACAAAGCCCCUGACCUCAUGGAACUUCUUCCUUCCCAGAGCAAGGAGAGAGAAAGGGGACGAGGAAGAUUAAAUGCAGAAAUCUCGAGUGGAGGUGGCGCUGUGAAGGAAGCGGGCAGCACAACGUGGUGGUGGACAGGGUGGUCAGGGGAGGGCUUGCUAAGGAGCUGGACCAUCAGGCAGACUCCUGACGUUUGUGGGAAUUUCCCGGGGAAGAGCAUUGCAGGCAGAGGGACCAGCAGGUGCAAAGGCCCUGGGGUGAGAUCUGAAAGGAAUCCAGCGCCACUGGAGGAUAGGGAGUGGCAGGGUGAAUUGUGUGCGAGUUGGUGGGUGAGCUAGGAUCGUGGGAGGCUUUAGACGAUGGAGCUAGGAGUUUAGUUUUGGUUUAGCAUGAGAGGAAGCCGUUAGUGUUUAGCAGGGGGGUGACACGUCUGAUUAUAUUUAGCUCCAUUGAGAAAAGACUCUGGCAGAGCAAGAGAGGAAGCUGGGAGAUCAGUGAGGAGGCAACAGAAGCCUCCAGGCGAGAGACGAUGGGGACUGGGACCAUUGCAGUAGUAGUUAGGUACAGGGAGCAGUAGUUGGAUCGGGGACAUAUCUUGGGGUGGAUCUCAUCAGACUUGCUGAUGGAUGUGAGAGAUAAUGGACAGGAGGGAUGGAGAGUGACUGACAGAUUUUGGGCCUGGGCAUCUGGGAGAAGCGAAAAUGCAGGAGGCACAGACAGUCUCUCCCUGCUGAGAUUGAAGGAUUCUUAAGGACGCUUCCUGUGCCAGAUUCGUUAUUUUAUUGCCCAUUCCGUGCCUCGUGGGGGCCUGACCGGAGGAGGUUGUCAGGAAUGGUUUGUGGGUUGCCGAUGUGAGUGAGGGAGGGAAGGGCUCGUGAAGGUGUGCAAGUGUGAAUACGUGAAAGGCGGGUUAAUGACACUCCCACGCCCAAGGUGGACCAACAUCCGGGCUUUCCCUAAGUGGAUGACGCAGAACAAUAGCCCUUGGCCCUAAGUGGUUCUGCAGCAGGAUGGUUUGGGGACCAAUGUGUAUUUUUCUUCCCUUUCUGGAGAUUCAAAUUGUGCAUUAGGUCAAAUAAAGGCUCUGAUAAGUCCCGCACAAAAGAGCCUAUUUAAUUUGGGUUAAGCCAGCAUUUCCCAGACUUUACUGAUCACAGAGCCUCUUUGGCUGGUGCAUUUAACAACAUCUAAACUCACUUCAGGAAAGGCUCUUCAGGCCAGCCCCCCUCAGUUCUGCUCAGUUGCUGGCUGCCACAGAAGAGUGUCAAAGGGACAUAAUGCCCUCCCACACUUAGCUGCGAUUGAGGGUUAUUCUGAAGAUAGUGCCCCCAUUAGCAUCAUAAUGACGUCUGUCCGUCAGUCAGUGCUCACCCUGGGCCAGGCACUUUUAAGCGUGGUUCACUGAAAGCUCGCAGCAGCCCUGUGACCUGGGUACUGUCCUCGCAUCCUCCUUUCACAGGUGGGAAGGCAGGGCUUGGAAGGACGAGGUCGCUUGCCCAAGGUCGGACGGCUGGGAAGCAGCACAUCCUGGAUGCCAUCACAGGAAGGUCCUGGAGCAUCCCCUCCUCCAGCCUGACCACUCCCUCCCCUCAUCCAUCCCAGCCCCAGCCGGUCAGCCACAGCGGGGGGCCCCCAGUUUGGCGUCUGCAUCGCCAGCUUGCGUCUGGGCUCCCCUGGGCGGCCCACCCCCACCCCGCCCCCAGCCGUCCCGGCCAGCCCGACGUGAGCCUCUCCGAAGCCCGUGGAAUUGGAGAGUUUUAAACAGGAAACUGGUAUAAUUUUGGUUAGGCGCUCAGGCCAGAGGGAGAAGCGCUGCCAGGCACAGCCGCAUCCAAGAGAAAUAGAGAGGAGGGUUUAGGGUUUCAAGUUUGUGCAUUUCAGGGAUGUUAAGACAAAUAAAGGAC